AUUCUGUAAUAGUGUUAUCCAGUCUGUUCAGCUCAAUGGGUGAGAGUAUAUUUAUUUAGGAGUUGGUCACAAGGACACAGUUUAUGUUGAGAAGCUGCCACUGAUCCUGUUUCAAGAGGGGAGUUCAAGCCUGUAACCCUGGUUCCCGGAGAGCCAACAUUCGGAAACUAUCAGCCUCAUUCGAGGCGGACAUUUUCCUCAUAUUACACUGAUAGCUGCUGCAGAGCUGAACAGUGGACAUUCCUUCAAUACAUAAGUUUUACCUAAAACACUGAUCACCGCAACAGCCCAACAAGUUACUGGAAUUGUAAUGUCAGGUAGUAACUCUGUCAGUAAAUGGAAUGCCAGUGGAAGCAGAAUUUAUAACUACAUCACUGGAAAAGGUUUUGUAAAAGGCUAGAACAAUUUGACAAUGUCAUUCUGGUGGCCAGCAGUGGCAGAAGAUUUGACUUUCCAGUUCUGAUGAAAGCAGUAGCUUGUUGUAAAGUUCGUGAGAGUUUUUUUUAAAUGUGUGUCUGGAUUUCUUGAUUCUCUAACAGAUUUAAGUAAACUUUUUCCUGGCACUUUCUCGUACAAACAAGAUCUUGUACAGAAACUUUUGAGUGGAAGUUAUGGAGAGUGAAAGCUAUGGAGCACAUAAUGCCAAGGAGGAUAUUAAAGCAUUAGGAAAUCUUUGAAAAUAUGUGUCAAUAUCGCCUAAAACAAUGCUUUCAUUUAAUUAUUCUCCAAAAUCUACAUCAGAUAUUCAGGCCUCAACCUAAAUCAUUUUGUAAAUAAUUGUCAAGCACAAGGGAGAAGAUGGGCUGAAGAACACGUACAUUGUUGAUAUAGUGAAGGACAACCAUGUGUUACAAACACAAAGAGGGCAUACUUUAGAGACAGUUACUCCAAACCUUAUGGAGUACUUAAAAAUUAUUUUAUUAUAUCUCAUUGCUUAUGCCCCAUAUUUUAAUUUUGAAAGAGUAAGAAAUGUUCAAAAAUGAUGUGUCUUGAUCUGUAUGUCAAGUUUUAUGCUUUGAUUUGGUUAUCUUUUUUGAACUAUUAGAACAUAUUAUUAUAUGUCAACAUUUUACUUUAUUAAAAGGAUUAUUACUACUAUAUUUAUUUUUAUGUACAAGUGUUACAUGCAUUUUUCAUUAGUAGAAGUAAAAAAAAAAUGGGAGUUCUUUGUUUUAAAAUCUUGUGAAUUUAAGUUUACAGUAUAAAGCUUUUGUUUAUAUUUUACCCCUACUCGAAAAGAAGGUAUUUUUAGAAAUUCAGAUGGUAAAAGUAGAUUUUCUUUAUGUAUUUGUUUCAUACAAUGAUACAGAUAAUUUGUAUGUAGUCAUUACACAUACAACACUUAUAACUUAAAAAAAAAAAGAAAUGUCGAGACCAGAAUUUUUUCCUGAAAAUUGCCAACUUUACGACUGAGGGUAUAAAAGAAAAGUAUUUCAAAUAAAUUCUUGUACAAAUGUAUGUCAUAAAUCUUUAUAUAUAUUUAUUCAACAUUGUUUUAGUAACUUACACUGAAACUGUUGUAUUUUGAUAAAUUUGAAAAAAAGUAUGUAGAAUUUAAGGUAGUUUAUUUCAUUUUUAAGUCAAAUUUGCAUAUAAGGAGUUAUGAUUUUAUAACUUUUUUUUUUAAUGGUUAAAAUCAUUUAAAAUCUUAAAAACUAUUCACCCAGGUGAUACAGAUAAUAAAAAUAAAAAGCUUGGUUAGAUUUGAAAUGUAACCAUUCAGGGCCCUAAAUCAUUCAUAAACUCAUCUAAAAAAUGUGUCUGUACACGAUGCUUCGUGGAACCUUUGUCACUGUUGUGUAAAGUGUAUUCCAACCUGCCCUUCCAUGUUUCUAGCUACUUGUGAACAAGUGGCAAAAUGAAAGUAAACUGUCCAGUCAGUUGUCUGAAAACUUUAAAUUACAUUUCUUGUUUUCAGUUUUUUUUGCUACAGUGCAUUUUAUAGUUUUAAAUUGUGCAAACUAUAGAGAAAAAAGAUUUUUGGCACACAAACUUUCAAGUAAAACAACAUUUAAAACAAAAAUUGCAUGUGUCAAGAGUAUAAACAUAUUUAAAAACUCUGUGAUAUUUGUCAGAAAUAACUGUUACAGAAGGAUGGAAGGACAGAAGGACGGACAGAGACCAUUCCUAUAACCCCCACCACUUGUGGCGGGGGAUUAAUAAAUCAACUUUCUAAGAAUCUUGAUGAAUGCCUAUACACCCAAAAAUGUCCCCUGUGCACCUUUUCAGUUGUUAAGUGUCUGAUUUCUUUUAUUUUUUAAAUAAAAUGGGUUUUUACUUUAUUUUCCUUGAAAGGGAGUUACAGUGGAUACAAAAGCAGCUUUCAACUUCACAUAUAACAGACUGUUAAACAUUCACAAAACCAAAAGUGAUGUUCCCUGUGCACCCUUUUUCAAAUUCAUCAAUUACCUUAGUAUUGCUGUAAUAUAUGGUGGCAGUUCUAUAUACUAAGCAAUGUGUAAACAAAAUUUAGGCUUUACUUGAUAAUAUAGCAUUAUUUAAGAAACCCUGGACAAUUUAAAAUUCAUUGUUUGCAUUUUUGCUGUAGUUGCCAAUUUUCAAGUUAAAAAGUGGAAAUAUCAGCUUUAUUGCUUCUUAAGCUGUCAAGUUCCCUUUCAAAUGUUAAUGUUCACUAGUGAAUAUUGUGUAGUUGAAAGAAUUUUUCCUAAGUAUAAACAUAUUCUAUAAAUAUAUUUUUGGUGCAGUUUGUCCCCUGUGCAUCUUCUCAGUAACAUUACAAAGUAUGUAUGAAUUUUACCAUGCAUGAUGUUUUGUCAUUUUUAGCUCAUCUGAUUUUUUGGAAAAAAAUGAUGAGUUAUUGUCAUCACUUGAGCGGUUGUCGGCGUCUGCGUCGGCGUUGCCUGGUUAAGUUUUAUGUUUAGGUCAGCUUUUCUCCUAAACUAUCAAAGCUAUUGCUUUGAAACUUGGAAUACUUGUUCACCACCAUAAGCUGACCCUGUAUAGCAAGAAACAUAACUCCAUCUUGCUUUUUGCAAGAUUUAUGGCCCCUUUUGUACUUAGAAAAUAUCGGAUUUCUUGGUUAAGUUUUAUGUUUAGGUCAACUUUUCUCCUAAACUAUCAAAGCUUUUGCUUUGAAACUUGGAAUACUUGUUCACCAUCAUAAGCAGACCCUGUACAUCAAGAAACAUAACUCCAUCUUGCUUUUUGCAAGAAUUAUUACCCCUUUGGGACUUAGAAAAUCAGUUUUCUUGGUUAAGUUUUAUGUUUAGGUCAGCUUUUAUCCUAAACUAUCAAAGCUAUUCCUUUAAAACUUUCAACACUUGUUCACCAUCAUAAGCUGACCCUGUACAGCAAGAAACAUAACUCCAUCCUGCUUUUUGCAAGAUUUAUGGCCCCUUUUGGACUUAGAAAUUAUCAGAUUUCUUGGUUAAGUUUUAUGUUUAGGUCAACUUUUUCUCUUAAACUAUCAAAGCUAUUGCUUUAAAACUUGCAACUCUUGUUCACCAUCAUAAGCUGACCCUGUACAGCAACCAACAUAACUCCAUCCUGCUUUUUGCAAUAAUUAUUGCCCCUUUUGGACUUAGAAAAAUCAUUUUCUUGGUUGAAUAUUAUGUUUAAGUCAACUUUUCUCAUAAACUAUCAAAGCUAUUGCUUUAAAACUUGCAACAGUUUUUCACCAUCAUAAGUGGACACUGUACAUCAAGAAACAUAACUCUAUCCUGUUUUUUGCAAGAGUGAUGGCCCUUUUUAGACUUAGAAAUCAUGGGUAGGACAAUAUUUCUAUUAUACAAACAAAAUCAGAUGAGCGUCAGCACCCGCAAGGCGGUGCUCUUGUUAUAUUUUGAAUAAGCAUUGCAUGUAAACCAAGUGAUUUCAAUGUAUUAGUUAUGUUUAAAGUCACUUAUUUUUCAUUUAAAACAUUACAUGCUGCUGCAUUUUCAUGUUUUUGUUGCAAAAAAAUUUCAGUUUUGUAGUUAUUUUGUGGAACGCACUAUUUGUUUAUAAGAAUUUGUCUUAAGUUGACCACCAAUAGCCUUUUUAUAAACAGAAAACUAAUUACAAAUGAAUACAAUGAUUUUCAAUAUGUGUCCCCUGUGCACCUGUAAAAUAACUCAGUUUUAAGAUGAUGAUUUUAGUACAUUCUUGAAAUUUGGCAUGCGGUUUAUGAACAUGCAAACUGCGAGAAAAAAAUAGGUUUUAUAAUAAUAUGUUAAUUAUUUUUCAUUGAGCAAUAACUUUUCUGGGUAGAAUUUUAUUUUCAUGUAAUAUUUAUGCAGAAAUGGUGAUUUUAAAAACCAGUGUCCACAAAUAUUUGAUAAAUUAAGUUUCAAACCACACACAUGUACCUGUUACGCAUCAUAAUAUGCUGAAAAAAUGACUGUUAUACAUAUUUCCUUGUCAUAAAAUAAUACAGCAUUUAUCACCCAUUUUACUGGAAAUUCACCAAACUUUCGAAUUAAAGGCUGAAAUAUUUUCUGACUGGUAUUUCUCAACACUUUCCCAAAGCUAUUUUCUUAAAAAUAUUUUCUGACUGGUAUUUCUCAACACUUUCCCAAAGCUAUUUUCUUAAAAUUUGAAGUAUUUGCUAUCAUAUAAAAUAGGUGACUGUGACCACCAUAAGAAAUAGGUUUGAUUUUUCAACCCCUAUGUCACACUUUUUUUGAAAACCACCAUAAUGUCACUUUAUCCAAAGAAAACAAAAUGCAUGGUUUUGUUUACUAAACAAAAAGUAACAACUGUAAAGAACUAUUUUUAUUUCCAAGCAAGUAACAUAAAAUGUCAAGGUGCAAAAAUUGUGGUGUUUAUAUAGACAACACAUUGUUGUGUAAUGUUCAAAUUGAAACAGUUUGCACUAAACUUGAUUCAAAAGUAGCAUUGUUGAGAUGUAUAAUAUUGUAAUAUAUGACAUACUGUAAAAUCAUUUAAUUUCGUGGGCAUGAAAUUUCGUGGUUUUGGCCAAAACCACAAUUUUAUAGGGAUAUGAAUUCUGGGAUUUCAACUUUCGAACAUAAAAUGAAUGGGAAAUAUACUUGUUCGCUGGGAUUAAAUCUCGUGGAUUGACUCAACCACGAAAAUUAGUCCCCCACAAAUAUUAAUGAUUUCAUAGUAUGAAAUGGAAAAAAAUACUCUAUAAUGUAUAUGUAAUGUCAUUAUUUGACUAUUGCAAAAUUGUUGCAAGCUUUGCAAAAAAGGAACAUUUUAUUCAAAAUAAUUUUUUGCAGCUCUACCUUAAAUUUUCAUUAUUUUCUAUAAAGAACUCUUAUUUUCUUGACACCAUACAUCUCUGAAAUGUUACCCUUUUUCAGCAAUGAAACAUACAAUCUAAGAUCCGCUGCUCAUAAUGACAUAGUUGUACCUUAUUAACAUCAUACAAAUUAUGGUAAAAAAAACCUUUUGUUAUAAUGGUGCAAAUGUUUGGUCCAAAUAAGGUAAACUGGUGUUCUUUAGUAAAAAAAACUUAUGUACUCUUGGUUUUUAUGUUGUAUGGUUACAACAAAGUGUUGGUGAUAUUGGUAUGUUUCUAUCGGUAGUUAAAGGUUACACAAUCAGUUCAGUCAAAAUUGGCACAAGAGAUUAGGAAACUCUAGUAGAGCAUUAUUUUACAGAAAUAUUUCAAAUUUUAGGUUCCAGCCAUACUUAGAAUAUAUUACAAACAAUAGAUUUUGUCAGUCAUUAGUGAGAUUAAGAGUUUCUUCUCAUAGAUUACAAAUAGAAGCAGGGCAUGUAGACUUAUUAAAUGAUGAAAACAAAAUGAUUGUAAGAAAGCUUGGAACAUUCAUAUACAAUGCUUUUAAGAAAUGCAAUGAAGUGUUAUAUGGUAAUCAUUAAUGAUAUAUUAUGCAAUGUUAUUAUACCCAAAAAUAUAAAUGAAUUGUCUAGAAAAGUCCUUGGUAACAAAACCAUAGUGCUGUGAAUAAGAAUAUCAAUAUAAAUAAUGAUUCUGAUAAUUUGCACUUUUUGAUUGUUUAUUUUUCUCAUAGCAUAUUUCUAUAUAUUCUUGCAUGAUGUAAAUACAUGCAGUUCUAUUCCAGCCAGUCACCUUUCUUUUAAGGUGACGCACAACUGGAAUGUUACAGACAUUUGAUUGUGUUAUAUAAUGUAUAGUUGUAUGUACAUGUAUGAAAAUGACAAUGAAAGCUAGAGAUUGCUUUCAGCUGUAUAGAACCUUCUCCAUUGGGACAAACUAUAUAAUUAUGAUAUUUCCUUAUUUGUGUUAUAUGUAUACAUAGUCAAUAUUGGUGUAUUGCUGUUACUAUUCACCAUAAAAUUUUGUACUUGUAUGCCUCAUGGGCUUCUUAGCCUAAUGGAUUUAUAUGAAAUAAAACUGUAAACAUCAAAUAUAGAAUCUUAACAUUUCUAAGCAGCGAAUAUUAAAGACAAGGUACAUAGUGGAAUUAUAGAGAUAUAGCAAGACUUACGAAGGGAAGUCGGACGUAAUAUUUGUGCAUACAUGACGGAGCAGAUUUUGUUUGAAUUUGCAUUGUUUUAAGCCUGUUAAUGGCUGUUUCAGAUAAGUAUACUGAUCUUUAAUUAAAAAUGUUUUGAAUGUUUUUGUUUGGAAUUCAAUACCAAAUGAAAUUUGCUCAACAUGUUUUCUUGCAUCUUUUAAAAAGAAAUAUAAAAAGUGUACUUGCAUUUCACUGCCUAAAGAAUCUCUUUGUUUAUAUCAGCUGAAUAACAACUAUGCCAUUAUAAUAUAAUUAUGCAUGUAUAUAUUAUGUCACUAAUUGAUUGCCUAAAUGGAAAUUGUAUAAAUGGACACUUAAAGGUAAUAUCUAUUUUAAGGGGUAUUUGUAUAAGAAUGAAUGUGAUAUUAAUUAGCAUAUGUGAUAGUGUAAAUUUUAUUUGGUUUUUGUUGUUGUUGUUCAGAAGGCCACAUUUAAUAGUAAGAAGUACCAUUUGUACUUUUCACUAAUCUUUAUCUUUAUUUGCUACCUUCUAUAGAUAAAGAUUUUAAAGUUCUCCGCGUUAUGUAGUAUAGAGGAGAACAGUGUUGUCUUGACACGGUAUAUCACAAAUCGCGCCAGCGUUGUAUAAGGGAUUAUAAAUAUUGGUGAGCGAUUUUGGUGUGUUGAAAAUCAGUUGUCCGCUAAGCUUCGAGUUGUCAACACUUUGUUUCGUAAGUAACACGUCAGCAGAGUUAUUCAAGUUCAAAAUAUAGGUAUUAAAGUUGUUCAAAGUAAACUUUACAAUGUUCAGAUUUAGUUUGAAAUAUGUAACGUACUACAUUUUUAAAGUACAGACUGUAAAUAAGCAGUUUAGAGCAGAAUUUUAGAGAAUCAUGUUUUUGUAUGUUCACGAUGUACCGUAGAGAUGAGAAUAUCCCGACAUCCUUUGUCCGGAGAACAGCUUUGCAUUUGCCACGGGUACAGGUUUCUUCUACGGGAGUUUUUUCUGUGCGGCAUUGUUGUUUCAUUGAUGGACAAGUUUGGUACAAUCGUUUACAACUUUUCAAUACAAAAACAGGAGUUAGCUUAAAGUUCAAAUUAUUAAUGACACUUGGUUAAAUACUGGCGUAAAUUAUUUAGCAUGUAGCUAUAUACAUUUGUAUUUUGUAAAAAAUACGAGGAAAAGUUACAAUUUGUAGGUAUUAAAAGGAAUGUAAAUAGUAAUAUAUACUUAUAUUAACUUACAACUAUAUAUGUUUUACGAAAUUAGUAUUUAAUGUUUUGUGCAUUGAUAUCCUGCUCGGCAAACGAAAUAAAUCUCAUGCUUAGCUCAUUGCAAAAAGUAUUUUGUUAUUUGUGAGGUAUGGUGUCAAGACAUUAUUAUAACAGAAGACAAUCCACAUUUUGUCUAGGGUUUUCUUUGGCUGCUUACUUAUUCCUUAAAAUGUAAUAUUAUUCUGUCAAGCAUUUUAGGGUGUGUGUCAUAAAAUGUGUUUCGCAUUGUUUCAAGUAUUUAUUCUGUAUGCAUCUCAAAUACACAUCAGGUUGCAACAUUUAAGGGUAUUCUUACUAAACUAAACAUAAAGCAUGCCUCUCACCUCACUAAAACUUUAGCACUCCAACAAAACCAAAAUUCCGGAUCUGCCCCUGAAAAUUACAAACUUUGCGGCAGCUAGUUUUCACGUAUAAUAACCUGUGUUUCAACUUCAUUACAAGAGCAAUGUUUAAUUUUAGUCAAUUUCUAAAUCUAAAGAAAGUAUUUAAUUUUUUGUUCAUAGUGUGUUUUUCAGUACUGAGUAGUUCAAUAAAAUCUAAUGGAAGAUGUUCAUAGUCAAAGAAAAAAUAUUUGUGAAAUUUUAGAGGGUAAUGUUCUGAAUUACUUAUCACAGCCAGAAGUCAAGAAUUUAAUUAUUGAUUUUUUUAAAAACUUUUUCUACAGCUUGAAGGGAAAUGCUUCAAGAUCUAUUUUCUACUUUGCUGAAAUCUGGACAUCUAUUUGUCAGUUGUGUUUCAAGUGUCAUAGAUGAUGGAAAUUAAAAAUAGGUCCUGUUUUGCCAAAUAUAAAAUUAAUGCUCAUUAACUAGAAAUAGAAGUAGGCAGAUACAGUAAAACUCCUUUGGAAAACAGGUCAUGUAGGUAAUAAAAUAUGAAUGUUUUGGUUUUGUUAUAUUGUGGCUUGAAACUUUUAAGAAGUAAAAUCAAUUGUUCUUGAAACUUGUUUUACUUUAUGCUCUCGUGAUGCAAAUAGUAUAUUGUCCUCGUGUUUUGUCUAUGAGAUUUCUGUAAGUAAACUUUAAACAUUA